rnacentral:rRNA from 1 species
UACUCCUACGGGAGGCAGCAGUGGGGAAUUUUGGACAAUGGGGGCAACCCUGAUCCAGCAACGCCGCGUGAAUGAAGAAGGCCUUAGGGUUGUAAAGUACUUUCAGCGGGGAGGAAGGUGUUGUGGUUAAUAACCACAGCAAUUGACGUUACCCGCAGAAGAAGCACCGGCUAACUCCGUGCCAGCAGCCGCGGUAAUA